GACGAACGCUGGCGGCGUGGAUUAGGCAUGCAAGUCGGACGGUAGGGCUUUAUCGUAAGAUAGAGUUUGAGAGUGGCGAACGGGUGAGUAACACGUAGGAAUCUACCCUUAAGACGGGGACAACCCAGGGAAACUUGGGCUAAUACCGGAUGCGUGCAAACAAUGUUUUGGCUGCUGUAAUUGUUCACGGAAGUGAAUAGUUAUGAGAGUUUAGAGCAUAAUUUGCAUAAAAGAUGGCGUAAGCUGUCGUUUGAGGAUGAGCCUGCGUCCUAUUAGUUAGUUGGUGAGGUAAUAGCUUACCAAGGCGAUGAUAGGUAGGCGGCCUUAACGGGUGGUCGCCCACACUGGGAUUGAGAUACGGCCCAGACUCCUACGGGAGCAGCAGUCGAGAAUAGUCUACAAUGGACGAAAGUCUGAUAGUGCGACGCCGCGUGAACGAAGAAUCCUUUCGGGGUGUAAAGUUCUUUUCUAUGUGAGCAGUUCCUUUUAUAUGAAGAGUAUAGGAGGCGGGU
rnacentral:rRNA from 1 species